UACGAAGGGGGCUAGCGUUGCUCGGAAUCACUGGGCGUAAAGGGUGCGUAGGUGGCGCGCUAAGUCAGGUGUGAAAUUUCGGAGCUUAACUCCGAAACUGCAUUUGAUACUGGCGUGCUUGAGGACUGGAGAGGAGACUGGAAUUCAUGGUGUAGCAGUGAAAUGCGUAGAGAUCAUGAGGAAGACCAGUGGCGAAGGCGGGUCUCUGGACAGUUCCUGACACUGAGGCACGAAGGCCAGGGGAGCAAACGGG
rnacentral:rRNA from 1 species